UUGGAGGGCAAGUCUGGUGCCAGCAGCCGCGGUAAUUCCAGCUCCAAUAGCGUAUAUUAAAGUUGUUGCAGUUAAAAAGCUCGUAGUUGAAUUUCGGGGUUCUACUGUUGGUCGGGCAAUAGUCUGUACUGGCGUGUAGAAUUUCUACCUUCUGGGGAACUAUCAUGUUAUUUAUUUAGCGUGGUAGGAAACCAGGACCUUUACCUUGAAAAAAUUAGAGUGUUCAAAGCAGGCUUACGUCUGAAUACAUUAGCAUGGAAUAAUAAAAUAGGACGGUGGUCCUGUUUUGUUGGUUUCUGAAUCACCGUAAUGGUUAAUAGGGAUAGUUGGGGGCAUUAGUAUUCAAUUGUCAGAGGUGAAAUUCUUGGAUUUAUUGAAGACUAACUUCUGCGAAAGCAUUUGCCAAGGAUGUUUUCAUUAAUCAAGAACGAAAGUUAGGGGAUCGAAGACGAUCAGAUACCGUCGUAGUCUUAACCAUAAACUAUGCCGACUAGGGAUCGGAUGAUGUUAAUUUUUUAAUGACUCAUUCGGCACCUUACGGGAAAC
rnacentral:rRNA from 1 species